rnacentral:tRNA from 1 species
GGACCAUUAGCUCAAUUGGUCAGAGCACCCGGCUCAUAACCGGAUGGUUGCAGGUUCGAACCCUGCAUGGUCCA